rnacentral:rRNA from 1 species
ACUCCUGCGGGAGGCAGCAGUGGGGAAUAUUGGACAAUGGGCGCAAGCCUGAUCCAGCCAUGCCGCGUGAGUGAUGAAGGCCCUAGGGUUGUAAAGCUCUUUCACCGGUGAAGAUAAUGACGGUAACCGGAGAAGCAGCCCCGGCUAACUUCGUGCCAGCAGCCGCGGUAAUACGAAGGGGGCUAGCGUUGUUCGGAUUUACUGGGCGUAAAGCGCACGUAGGCGGACUAUUAAGUCAGGGGUGAAAUCCCGGGGCUCAACCCCGGAACUGCCUUUGAUACUGGUAGUCUUGAGUUCGAGAGAGGUGAGUGGAAUUCCGAGUGUAGAGGUGAAAUUCGUAGAUAUUCGGAGGAACACCAGUGGCGAAGGCGGCUCACUGGCUCGAUACUGACGCUGAGGUGCGAAAGCGUGGGGAGCAAACAGGAUUAGAUACCCCAGUAGUCC